GUCACUAUAAUUUAACCAAAAUACUAGAGUGUGAACCUAGAAACAGAAGCUAACAUCUUCUUAGUGACC
rnacentral:tRNA from 1 species